UCGCAACACAGACGUGUCUUGACAUAGACCAUUUAGAAUUGCAUGAUUACGGAUUCAACAAGCUGCAGUGCAUAAUGGCCAUUUGCACUGAUGCGUUCUUAUGUCUGUUAUGUUAUUUUCUCAGACAUGUCUAAUAUUCUCCUAAUGUUGUCAUUGGAUAGGGGUAUGGUGUUACGUUUGUUUGCGUACGACUCCCAAGUUUUCAGUGCACAUAUCAAUCGCACCAGGGAGUAUGAGAUCCUCUGCGCUGGUGUGGGCUUUUUUUGCACUUACUACAAUGCGCUGGGACCGGGUUGUCUGCCUUGUUGUUGACAUUGGAAGCCGCAGUGGAUGAAGAGGGAGCUGCACGUUUUAUAAACGUGUCCAUGAUUUUUCUCUGACAGAUACAGUAUCCUACAUGAGUUAAAUGACAGCUAACUAUCCACAUGUGCAAUGCAUGCAGAACAAAUCUGCAUAGUUAGCGUAGUUAGCUCUCAAUCAAGCUAGCCAUAAGAAGAUCUGUAAUUAGGGUACUAGGGGGUAACUGGCCCCUAAAAACAAUGUCUAAAUGCUGACACAAAACAAUUGGUGUGUGGAUGAAGGUCAUGUUAACUAUAAAGGGAAAUAAAUCGUUAGAGUUGACACUUAAGUUAUUUAAUGAAAUGUUGUUUUUACAAAAGUGCAGUGAAUCCAUUUAAUCAGUUUUAUUUAGAAAUGCCUUAAGUAAUAAUUGAAAGCUAAGUCUUGUUCUCUUAUUUGUAUUAUUUAAAUAAAAUAUGGGGGGGAAAUGGUGUUGCACAUGUCUAUUAAUGUCUGCACUAUGAGGAGAUUUUAUGUAAAGUCCCUCUUUUUAACGCCCUUGCACAUUCAUUUUCAUUGUUGUUCCUUUUCUAUUACAAUCCAUUAUGUACAAUUGCACUAAAUAUGAUUUGAAUAAUGCAAGUUUUCAAAUCCCAGCAGUCUUUUAAAAAAUUACAUUAAGGAGCAAAAGGUUUUCAAUAGUUCUUUUUAAUUAAUUAAAAAAAUAUUAUUUGGAAUAUAACAUUGGAAUAUAACAUGUAAUAACAAUAACUUAACUAAUUAACAUUGUUGUGGCAACUAUUAUGCUCUGCUAUUGCAUGAUUCUAAUUUGUACUUGUAAGUCACAAAUAAAGCUAUCCCCA
ensembl:lncRNA